UUACGGCCAUAUAGCAUUAAAACACCGGUUCCUGUAUGAUCACCGAAGUUAAGCAAUAUUGAGCCUGGUCUGUACCUAGAUAGGUGACUGCUUGGGAAUGCCAGCUGCUGUA